UACGUAGGGUGCAAGCGUUGUCCGGAUUUAUUGGGCGUAAAGAGCUCGUAGGCGGCUCAUUGCGUCAACCGUGAAAACCAGCAGCUCAACUGUUGGCUUGCGGUUGAUACGGGUGGGCUGGAGUUCGGUAGGGGAGACUGGAAUUCCUGGUGUAGCGGUGAAAUGCGCAGAUAUCUGGAGGAACACCGGUGGCGAAGGCGGCAUCCUGGACCAAUAUUGACGCUGAGGAGCGAAAGCCAGGGGAGCAAACGGG
rnacentral:rRNA from 1 species